CAGCAGCCGCGGUAAUACGGAGGGAGCUAGCGUUGUUCGGAAUCACUGGGCGUAAAGCGCACGUAGGCGGCUAUUCAAGUCAGGGGUGAAAGCCCGGGGCUCAACCCCGGAACUGCCUUUGAAACUAGAUAGCUUGAAUCUUGGAGAGGCGAGUGGAAUUCCGAGUGUAGAGGUGAAAUUCGUAGAUAUUCGGAAGAACACCAGUGGCGAAGGCGACUCGCUGGACAGGUAUUGACGCUGAGGUGCGAAAGCGUGGGGAGCAAACAGGAUUAGAUACCCCAGUAGUCCCUGUCUCUUAUAC
rnacentral:rRNA from 1 species